rnacentral:rRNA from 1 species
CCUACGGGUGGCUGCAGUGGGGAAUAUUGCACAAUGGGCGCAAGCCUGAUGCAGCCAUGCCGCGUGUGUGAAGAAGGCCUUCGGGUUGUAAAGCACUUUCAGCGGGGAGGAAGGCGUUAAGGUUAAUAACCUUGGCGAUUGACGUUACCCGCAGAAGAGGCACCGGCUAACUCCGUGCCAGCAGCCGCGGUAAUACGGAGGGUGCAAGCGUUAAUCGGAAUUACUGGGCGUAAAGCGCACGCAGGCGGUCUGCCAAGUCGGAUGUGAAAUCCCCGGGCUCAACCUGGGAACUGCAUUCGAAACUGGCAGGCUAGAGUCUUGUAGAGGGGGGUAGAAUUCCAGGUGUAGCGGUGAAAUGCGUAGAGAUCUGGAGGAAUACCGGUGGCGAAGGCGGCCCCCUGGACAAAGACUGACGCUCAGGUGCGAAAGCGUGGGGAGCAAACAGGAUUAGAUACCCGAGUAGUC